rnacentral:lncRNA from 1 species
AGGAGGUCCUGUUAACCUAGAGGAAAGGAUAUACACAGGAGGUCCUGUUAACCUAGUUGGGAAGGGAUAUACACAGGAGGUCCUGCUAACCAAGAGGAAGGGAUAUACACAGGAGGUCCUGUUAACCUAGAGGAAGGGAUAUACACAGGAGGUCCUGUUAACCAAGAGGAAGGGAUAUACACAGGAGGUCCUGUUAACCUAGAGGAAGGGAUAUACACAGGAGGUCCUGC